rnacentral:misc_RNA from 1 species
UUUUGAAAUACCUUUCCUAUGUUAAUUAAAACAAAACAAACAAACUAUUGACAUAAAAUUAUAGUAAUAAUAAUUAUAGCAAGUUUUUUUGAUUUUAUGACAAAAAAGGUAAAUAAAUAUGUAUGAAAUAUAUAUAAAAUCGCCUUGGAAUUUUGGGUAAAAAAGUUUUGCUUCUAAUAUUGUUAGAAAGUUUUAAUCACCACGAAUAAAAGCGGAACAGGAGACAUGGGUAGCACGUAAAACUGUGUUUUAGAGUAAUUAACUUUAGAUAUUUACGAUAAUUUAGAAUGUUUACUAUCUGACAAAAAGGAAAAGCAAAUAUAGAAUGUAAAGAACAAACAGUAAUAAACCUAAAAAUUAGUAGUUUUAUUUACAAAAUAUUACUCUAAAAACUCUAAAAUUCUAGUAAAGCAAACAAAACGAAAAAAAAAAAUUGACAUUAAAAUAAUCGAAAACCCUUUUUAGUCUCAUGAUUUAUAUUGUGAUCUGUCUUGGGACCCAGUGUUAAAAACCAAGAAAUAUUUUACGCUCCAGGCGAUUUUCUUUCGGCUAAAAUCUUAGGGCGAGUGCACAACGAUAGAAUAUCAUGGGUCUUGCUUUUUUAACAAAAACAAUCCUAUAAAUAACAUAAUCAUUUAACCGAGGUA